CGGACGGGUGAGUAAUGUCUGGGAAACUGCCUGAUGGAGGGGGAUAACUACUGGAAACGGUAGCUAAUACCGCAUAACGUCGCAAGACCAAAGAGGGGGACCUUAGGGCCUCUUGCCAUCGGAUGUGCCCAGAUGGGAUUAGCUUGUUGGUGGGGUAACGGCUCACCAAGGCGACGAUCCCUAGCUGGUCUGAGAGGAUGACCAGCCACACUGGACCUGAGACACGGUCCAG
rnacentral:rRNA from 1 species